rnacentral:rRNA from 1 species
CGGAUCCUUCGGGAUUAGUGGCGGACGGGUGAGUAACACGUGGGAACGUGCCCUUUGGUUCGGAACAACUCAGGGAAACUUGAGCUAAUACCGGAUGUGCCCUUCGGGGGAAAGAUUUAUCGCCAUUGGAGCGGCCCGCGUCUGAUUAGCUAGUUGGUGGGGUAAAGGCCCACCAAGGCGACGAUCAGUAGCUGGUCUGAGAGGAUGAUCAGCCACAUUGGGACUGAGACACGGCCCAA